rnacentral:misc_RNA from 1 species
CGCCCAUGCGAAACACCAAAUGGAUCAUGGAACUGCACCAGCAGUUGUGUGCCCAAUGAUAACCAGAAAGCUUCAAUCUUGAAGAAUAAAUGGGAUUUGACAUACUGAUUCAAGUCUUCCCUUGAAUGCCCAAAUCCACUCAACCAAGCCUUGAAGAACCAGCAUUGAUAUUCCUAUGAAGAAUUCGAGCACCACCAGAAUCCCCACCAUCAAUCAACUCUCUCAACCCCAAAUUCCCCAUUUUCUCCUCUUCCUUCUCCUCCUCUUCCUCUUCCUUGUCCACCUUACUAACCCCGCCAGAUCUGGCCACCUUACCCUGCAGCCUCUCAAAGUAAUUUCCAUAAAUAUACUCAGGAGUGUAUCCAUUCUCUUCAUCAAACAGCAUAAUAUGUCCAUGCCACUCCCACACUCGAUAAUCUGAUCCUUUUUCCUCAUGAAACCCAACACAUAUGUGAUGUUCACCAAUUGUAACUGCCUGACCCGAGUUGGGGUUCAAUGAAUCAGUCUUACCUGAGAGGAUGAGUCGAAUGAUUUCCUUCUCAAGCUUGGAUUCUUCUUUAGAGAGCUGGGUUCUGGAAUCAGAGCAAUCAUCAUCAGAGUUAUCAGAGUUAUUGUAUGCAGCAUCAAAGAGGAGGUCCUCAAGUGACUGAGAGAGGAAGGGAUUGUGGGUAGAAUUUGGAGGAUGGAUUUGCAGUCGGCCCAUUAGGGUUUGAAGCAGGAGAUUGUCAAAAUUGGAGGUGUUGGUGAACGAGCUCAUAGUGUUUGCGUUUAGGUUUUGGCUUCAAUUAUCAGAGAACAAAAGAACUCAAUAUAGAUCUUUGGGGUGUAGAGAGAGGAUCCAGGAGGAUGACGGUAGCGAUUCCCUCGCCGACGAAAGCGAGAACGCAGCUGUUGUCGAAA